rnacentral:rRNA from 1 species
CCUACGGGAGGCUGCAGUGGGGAAUAUUGCACAAUGGGCGCAAGCCUGAUGCAGCCAUGCCGCGUGUGUGAAGAAGGCCUUCGGGUUGUAAAGCACUUUCAGCGGGGAGGAAGGCGGUGAGGUUAAUAACCUCAUCGAUUGACGUUACCCGCAGAAGAAGCACCGGCUAACUCCGUGCCAGCAGCCGCGGUAAUACGGAGGGUGCAAGCGUUAAUCGGAAUUACUGGGCGUAAAGCGCACGCAGGCGGUCUGUCAAGUCGGAUGUGAAAUCCCCGGGCUCAACUUGGGAACUGCAUUCGAAACUGGCAGGCUAGAGUCUUGUAGAGGGGGGUAGAAUUCCAGGUGUAGCGGUGAAAUGCGUAGAGAUCUGGAGGAAUACCGGUGGCGAAGGCGGCCCCCUGGACAAAGACUGACGCUCAGGUGCGAAAGCGUGGGGAGCAAACAGGAUUAGAUACCCCAGUAGUC